CGCGUAGGCGGACGGCACAGUCAGGCGUGAAAUUUCUGGGCUCAACCUGGGGACUGCGUCUGAUACGUGUUGUCUAGAGUAUGGAAGAGGGUUGUGGAAUUUCCAGUGUAGAGGUGAAAUUCGUAGAUAUUGGAAAGAACACCGGUGGCGAAGGCGGCAACCUGGUCCAUGACUGACGCUGAGGCGCGAAAGCGUGGGGAGCAAACA
rnacentral:rRNA from 1 species